rnacentral:rRNA from 1 species
AGCGAACGCUGGCGGCAGGCCUAACACAUGCAAGUCGAACGAAGUCUUCGGACUUAGUGGCGGACGGGGGAGUAACACGUGGGAACGUGCCUUUAGGUUCGGAAUAACUCAGGGAAACUUGUGCUAAUACCGAAUGUGCCCUUCGGGGGAAAGAUUUAUCGCAUUUAGAGCGGCCCGCGUCUGAUUAGCUAGUUGGUGAGGUAAAGGCUCACCAAGGCUACGAUCAGUAGCUGGUCUGAGAGGAUGACCAGCCACAUUGGGACUGAGACACGGCCCAAACUCCUACGGGAGGCAGCAGUGGGGAAUCUUGCGCAAUGGGCGAAAGCCUGACGCAGCCAUGCCGCGUGGAUGAUGAAGGUCUUAGGAUUGUAAAAUCCUUUCACCGGUGAAGAUAAUGACUGUAGCCGGAGAAGAAGCCCCGGCUAACUUCGUGCCAGCAGCCGCCGUAACAC